GACGAACGUUGGCGGCGUGCUUAACACAUGCAAGUCGAACGGAAAGGCCCUGCUUUUGUGGGGUGCUCGAGUGGCGAACGGGUGAGUAACACGUGAGUAACCUGCCCUUGACUUUGGGAUAACUUCAGGAAACUGGGGCUAAUACCGGAUAGGAGCUCCUGCUGCAUGGUGGGGGUUGGAAAGUUUCGGCGGUUGGGGAUGGACUCGCGGCUUAUCAGCUUGUUGGUGGGGUAGUGGCUUACCAAGGCUUUGACGGGUAGCCGGCCUGAGAGGGUGACCGGCCACAUUGGGACUGAGAUACGGCCCAGACUCCUACGGGAGGCAGCAGUGGGGAAUAUUGCACAAUGGGCGGAAGCCUGAUGCAGCAACGCCGCGUGCGGGAUGACGGCCUUCGGGUUGUAAACCGCUUUCGCCUGUGACGAAGCGUGAGUGACGGUAAUGGGUAAAGAAGCACCGGCUAACUACGUGCCAGCAGCCGCGGUGAUACGUAGGGUGCGAGCGUUGUCCGGAUUUAUUGGGCGUAAAGGGCUCGUAGGUGGUUGAUCGCGUCGGAAGUGUAAUUUUGGGGCUUAACCCUGAGCGUGCUUUCGAUACGGGUUGACUUGAGGAAGGUAGGGGAGAAUGGAAUUCCUGGUGGAGCGGUGGAAUGCGCAGAUAUCAGGAGGAACACCAGUGGCGAAGGCGGUUCUCUGGGCCUUUCCUGACGCUGAGGAGCGAAAGCGUGGGGAGCGAACAGGCUUAGAUACCCUGGUAGUCCACGCUGUAAACGGUGGGUACUAGGUGUGGGGUCCAUUCCACGGGUUCCGUGCCGUAGCUAACGCUUUAAGUACCCCGCCUGGGGAGUACGGCCGCAAGGCUAAAACUCAAAGGAAUUGACGGGGCCCCGCACAAGCGGCGGAGCAUGCGGAUUAAUUCGAUGCAACGCGUAGAACCUUACCUGGGUUUGACAUGGAUCGGGAGUGCUCAGAGAUGGGUGUGCCUCUUUUGGGGUCGGUUCACAGGUGGUGCAUGGCUGUCGUCAGCUCGUGUCGUGAGAUGUUGGGUUAAGUCCCGCAACGAGCGCAACCCUUGUUCACUGUUGCCAGCACGUUAUGGUGGGGACUCAGUGGAGACCGCCGGGGUCAACUCGGAGGAAGGUGGGGAUGACGUCAAGUCAUCAUGCCCCUUAUGUCCAGGGCUUCACGCAUGCUACAAUGGCUGGUACAGAGAGUGGCGAGCCUGUGAGGGUGAGCGAAUCUCGGAAAGCCGGUCUCAGUUCGGAUUGGGGUCUGCAACUCGACCUCAUGAAGUCGGAGUCGCUAGUAAUCGCAGAUCAGCAACGCUGCGGUGAAUACGUUCCCGGGGCU
rnacentral:rRNA from 1 species